UGACCAGUUGCACCAAAAUCAUCCCAGGCAUUUCAAGCUCCUUUCCCUCCCUCCAGCAUUUCCCCAUGUCAGAGUUCGCAAGGGGCACCUAGGAGUAAAUAUGAACCCGGCCUGGCCACAGGGACGGCUGCAAAAGCGCGUGAAUUCAGUGAGCUUAGAAAGGGCUUUCUUUCUUUUUUUUUUUUCCUACAAUGCCAUUCAAGGUCUGCAAAGGCAGACUGUCCCCUUCAUCCAGUCCAUCUCUGGAGCCCUGCUAUGCAAAUUGGUCAUUCCUUUUGCAAGCCACACUAAGACUUCGAUGAGCAGGAUCUGUUGGGAGCUGCAGCAUCUUGAAAACAGCUCUCAAAACCAGCGCCUGGUGCCAGAAGGAAGACAGCCCCUGUGGACAUGGGGCUUAGGCACCAAUGUACCUUGGAGGAGGGGACAUCGGUUCCUGGGAGCAGGACUGCGGGGCCCUGAUCUCUGCUGUGCAACAAGAGUUAUGGUGGAGCAUGUGGUUCACUCUGAUGGAGACUUCCCCAAUGCUCAAGCUCACAAAUGCCUCGGGGAGCAGGGAGGUUUAUCCCUAUUUUAUUGAUCGGGAAAAUGAGGCCCAGAGAGGUCAAGGGAAAGGAUUUUUCCUCAGCCCCACAGCCUCUGAGCUGGGUUUGGGAUUCAGCCGUCUUCACUUUCCACCUGGAGCACCCACAAGUGCCCUCCACCAGCCCCCACCCCUUUCUCAGAGCCAGAAACAGACUCCAAAAGUGCCCCAGUGUCGCAGAUCACCAAGACCUCACUCCUUCCCGGACCCAGGAGUCCUGACUCCUAGUCCCCGACUCUAACCCCGAGCCUGCCCUUCUCUCCCAGUCCUGAAAAAAAGAAAAGCCAGGAGUCCUGGCUCCCCAGUCUCCUGCUCUCCCACCAGAUGACAGGUCCCUGUACCCACCCUGCUCAUCACCUUGAUCCACAUUCCUCAUGGUUAUUGAAGGGGCAGGGCCAAAGUCUUCUUUGAAGGCAUUAAAAACAUAGAAACAGCCUUGAGACUCCUCUCCAGCUCCUUGUUAGACCUAGUCAGCUGUGCCAGACCCCCACCCCUUAGCAGGAUCUCGGCACCAGGGGCUUCCUAGGCGAGAAGUAUGGGGCUGGAGAGGACAUGGGGCCAUUAAGUGGUUACUCCUUCAGCAUCUUUGAGAAUAAAGGCUCCAGAAAGUAGCUUCUGGGGCCUGCAAUCUUUCUGAAGCACUGAACUGAGAUGCAGAUGCCCAGUGGUACCUCGAUCAAAUUACUUGCCCUGCUGUUUGUGACCACCCCUGUUCCAGGACCUUGGAUCUGCUGUAAUGAAAUAAAUAAAUGAAGCCAAGCAUG